CCCAACUGCAAACUCUUUCUCUCUCUUCCCCCACGAAUUGAGAUUAGUAAAAGUUUCCAUCAGGGAUUUCAGCGGUGACCUCAGGUCUGGGGCUCCGUGUGCCACACAGAGCCCAGGCAGCACAUGCUGCCGAGGAAAUCCUGCCUGGCACAGGGUGCCAGGGACAGCCACGCACAUUCCUGCACACCGGAAAGCCAUGAUAGUUGCAGUGAGAUUGGAUGGCAGCAGGAAGAUGUGAAUACACACAGAGCACAGACAGAUAAAGGAAGAGCCACCUUCAGAUACCUGAGACACACUGCAGUCAUUUAGAGAGAUAAACAUCUUGAUUCCUAGAGAUAACAGGCGCUGAAUGGUUGGCCUCAAAACCAAGCAUUCGUGACAACUCUCGAAACAAGAACACUAUUACUCUCCAUUUCCACAACAAUUUACAUACAACUGCAAAGAAAACCCUUCUCCCUUUGCAUCUGGGAAAUGCACUGUAAACACAUUACCCGAAGCCUUGCCAUGGUUCCCGAACACCUGGAGGUGGAUGGGUGAGCAGGUACCCUGGUUUGCUCUCCUGGAAGCAGCUCAGGUUGGUUGCUUUGGAUGACCUGGCUGCCAUCGAUACAACCAUCGAGAUGGGAAAGAAGGACCCCUCCCAGGAAAGGACAGGAACACUGGAGAACUGAGCCAAGGCCAAGGGAAGAAAGUAUUCAGGACUUGGGCAAAAAGCACUUCCAGGGAGUUUCUGAAAUAAUCUAGUUGUGAUCUGCCAGACAUUUUGUCUCUCUUCACAGGUUGGGUCCACCCAAGCAGAUCCCAAGCGUGAUGGAAAUUUCCCAGGUUCUUCACUACAAAACAACUGUCGUGCAUUCACUCCUCUCUCUUCCUCCCCAAAAUGGAGCAGCUGAAAUGAGCCACCAAAAUCUGUCAGAGGAGAUCUUAUUUUUGCCUUAUCCACUCUGUAAGGGUCUUGCACACAGCACUGUAGCAAAACACUUGCAAAUAGUAAUUUAGAUCUGUCUGCUACGUAUUCAGCUGCACAUGAACAAAAGGCUGUCCUUGAACAAAACGCUGUCCUUGUACUGUGAAUAAUUUCCCCAAAUACCAGAUGUUGCCUGAUUUCUCCAGAAUGUCCAACUCCUACGAUUUUAGAGCGAGUGGUACUACAUACAGUGGCUUUCCACUAAAAUAAUUUUCAUACCUAAGGACCUCAUCUCUCAUUCAAAGUCAGUUUUUAUCCUCUGAAUACAAGGAGCUGUGUCUCUGAUGCAACAACCAGGAGGCAACACUCACCCAGCUCUGUGUACUAAAAUCUGAAGCCAGUCUCAAGAUUACAGAGUUUUGGAUGCUAACAUGACUACUGUCAUAAAAAGGAAGCAGGGAGAGUGAGGGCCCAACCUAGAAGUAUCUCAGCUCUGCCAGCAAGGACAGGGACCCUCAAGCUGAGGGACCUUUCCAACAGCAGCACUGAUGAUUUCUCAGGAACGGGCUCCAAAUUAACCUCAUCAAGACUAUUUCAGAGCCAGAGAGGGCAAGAUGUGGAGGAGGAGGAGGAGGACUUCAAGGGUGCUUUCAAACGAACUGAAUCAGAGAUUUACCCAACCCCACUCUUUCAGAAGUGUCUGAAUAACGCACCAGCCUGAACCACUGGAAAGAAACAAAUAAAUGAGUUGGCAACUUUCACAGGGAGGAGCCUUGAAGCCCAGUUCCCAAGACCACGCCAACCAGCUCCGUGUGACAGCAUACAGGAAUGAAAAUAGAUAACAGGCUUCUAUGUGGAACAUACCCAGAACCUGCCUAAUUCAGAGACAUGGAAAUACAAAGAUGAAUAAGGCUGAGUUUCCCAUGCUAGGGGCCCAUGGAAACUGAGAGGGGAGGAAGAAGUAAGGAGGCCCAUUGACUCGGGAGAAGGACUUUCACCCUACAGGUGAAGGAAGCAUUUGAAGGCACCAGCAACAUUGCAGGCCUGUUCCAGAGCCCAUCCAAGUCACUGACAACAUCACACUGACUUCAUUGGGAUGCGAGUUGCAGCUGAACAUUUUUAAAAUAUAAUCCAAGGCUAUUUCCAUAUCACUGUGUAAUGAGUGGGAUCCAAAACAGAUCAAGUGACAUACCUGCCUUUUGUCCAUAUUUCUGGCUGCUAGUGUGGCUGCUCUUUGGGCUCUAGGUCUCCAUAUUGCACUGAGGAAGAGUCGGGCUCGGGACCUUUUGGGAGGUCUGUCUCAGACUGUGUGCACACCAGUGCACCCAUAUCCAAGUCAGGCAACCUGGAGGAAGGAAGCUUUGGCCAAAUGUACUGGGGCAAACUGCAUCUUUCCCCUCCCCUCCUGUAUCUCCACUGCCCCUCUCCAAACUCAGGCUGAGGAGGGCUCUCAGUGGGAGCUGGAGGAUUCACCAGGAGCCGUGGGCAUAUCCACUGGACAGGGUAAGCAUUCCUUUGUUUGAUGAUGUAAGUGCACCUGGCACCCAAAAUCUGGAAUUUAAAGCUAGCCCAGCCACAGGACUUGCUCUGGGAUCCUCUGGCCCAAUUGCAGUCCAGAUACACCUUAAGAUUUCUGCAGAAUUUCAGUUAUACAAAAAUAGUGGCUCACUUCAUACAUCCCUAACUGCAACCUUAGAGCUACUGCCAUUGCUGUAGAAAAACUCUUCUUGUUUCCUCACUGGCACUGUGCUGUGCUACUUCUGCUCCAGUGCCACAUUCCUGGUAGAGGAUGGAAACCCCAGAAGGACUAUUUUCUUUUGAAUGAACCACUUUGCUUUAUUAUUAUUAGCCUAUCAGAUACAAUAGUUUGCAUGGCAAGUCCUUCAUCAGAUCACUUCAGAAGCAUGUCACUGCAGUAGGCCUUUAAUAUCAUGCUAAUUUGUUUCAUAAAUUACUAAUUGAACCCUUUAAAUGACUCAUAUUGGUAUGGAGAGUCUUACCAUAGAGAAAACUUGGUGAUCUCAGAAGAGGGCACAUCACAGAACUAUCCUCCCCUGCUAUGUAACACAAAUUAAACAGCAGGGCAGGAGCAGGACGGGGAAUUUUCCUGCCCAAUUAGCAGUUCAGAGACCUUAUCACUGUGAGGAAUCUGAGUCCCACAUCCAUCGCACCUGCCUAAAGAGGGAGUUUCCACUGAUGUCAGAGUGUGGAAGAAGCGAAGGGUACAGACCCACACACAGAGGGCAAAGCAUCUGCAGAGCAGAUCGAAAGAGAACGUUCUUCCUCUGGGACAAGUGCAUCCAUAGGUCUGGUGCUUUAAUGACACCUGCCACACAUUGCCACUGAUGUCAUCGCUGAGUCUGUCUCCACUGGACAGAUGGGGUUUGACUGGCACCAGUAAGCAGGAUUUUUCCCAAAUUGUCCAAUGCUGGCCCCUUCCAGCCAUAUAAGAUGCUGUCUUUGCUUUUUCCAACACAAGCGCCUCCAAAGACAACCUAGAAACCAUGUCACACCUUGCACUGGCUCGGCAGCUGGGGAAAGGUAACUGAUUACCUCAGGACUGGUUCUCCAAAGGCACAACUCUGUUGUACUGGACUGGAGGGAGGUCAGAGGGCUUCAGGCAGGUUUGUCUGACUGACCUGCUGUUUUUCCCUCAGAGCCAGCCUCAUCACCUCUUGCCUUGCAGCAAAGGAUGGUUUUUUCCCUCACCUAAAUCCCAACAAUGCUGGUAUCUACACCUGCUCAGCCACAUUCACCUCCCACCAGAGUUAAUGGAGUGAGUAGUCAUUUCUGGGGAGAAAGCCACCUGGCCUACAGCAGAUGCCUCCCUUAGGAUGAGAUCACUAUCACUCCCGGGCAGCUGGGAAGGCCAUUUAGCUGUACCUGUCCUCAUACAGCCAGAGGAAUCCCACCCCAGGUGAGUGGUCACAUGAUGAGCUGCUGCAACAAGUGAAAAGCACUCUUGUUUUGCACAUCAGCCUGGCCUUGUGUGCAUCUAAGCUGCAUUUUAUGACUGAACCUAGACCGGGGAACCUGCAGCUGAUCCUGCACCUCCAUAAGCAACAAGAGCAUGAAGACCUCCACGUGUGCUCCAGCACAAAGGCUUGUCACAGAACUGCUCAGCCAGGUUCUUACAGGUAGACAUAAAGCCCCAACAGGGACCUCUACAAACACCUCUGCUGGUCUCCUGCAGUCCUGGGCAGUGUUUCACCCGCAGACUUCUGGAAUUAGAAAGCUAACAUGGUUCCCUGGUAUAAUUACAGAUAAUCCCAUUGGAUUCAGCACCACUGGUUAACCAAACAUGCAUUAGCUCCUAAGAGAAAGACAUUAUUUAUUUUACCCACACAAGGCUUAUCUUGUAGUAGCCAUCGACUUUCCAUGGAAAGAUCCUGCUCUACUGCUAUACACCAGUCAUUAGAGGCAGCUUCUAAACUUUAAUAUCUCCAAAGGAACAAUAAUUGUGACCCUUUCAAUAUUUUAUAUUUACAGACAAGCAGAAUGAACUCGCUGGAGUCAGCAGGUGGUGUAUGUUCAGCUGCUCGGAGCAAUAUUCAGCUUCCCUGUUCCCAGCAAGGGCAGCUGCCAUCAGGGAAGCAGUGCCCUGUGAAUGUAUCAUUCAAUGGGUAAAGAGCCCAGUUUGUAUGGCAGACAUCAAAGAGAACUGUAACAUGCAGAUGUUUUCCAUGCAGAGGCUGAGAAAAGUGAUGGCCAAGACCUUGUAAAUCCCAUGCUGUGUUUUUCCCUUCGUUUUCUGCCUUACAUCCCCCAUUUCCUUGCUUUUUCUUACAUGGAAGAAUGAUACCAUUAAAAAUGAUGUAUAUAAAUUAUAUCCUUAGCUGAUAUAAUUUGCUGUGACUCCACAGAGCUCUGGCUGUUUAUACAAGUUGCAAAUUGCUCCCAUCAAUUUAGAUCUCUACAGAUUUACAUCACGGGCAAUAGCACUAUAUUUUCCCCCAUAAUUAAUAAGCUUCUUUAAAAAAAAAAAAAGACAAACAACCCACCCUUGACACCCAUUAAACUUGCAUUUGGAGAUAAAGACUUCAGAGGAUGCCUUCUCCCACCCUAUCUCACGUCCUUCAUCCUGCUCCUCAGUUUAUCGGAGGAUCCUCCCAGUGCCACUUGAGCCAGAGCUGAGCUGAGUUACCAGAGCCCAUGGAUGAAGCCAUGGCUGGAUCUGCUCCCUUUUCAUCUCCCCAAGUAAUGCGGUGAAUACAACCCAUCCCAAAUGUCCCUGAGUCCUGAUGAGGACAGAGCCCUCUUCACUGCCACCCAGGCUCACUCAUGGGAUGUAGGUUAAAAUUCCUGCUCUGUUUCAUCCAGGGCAGCCAGUUCAAUGCACAAGUCCCUCUGCCCAGGUGAAUUCCUUACUCAGUAAGGUAAAAGAUAUUUUUAAAAAGUUCUCCUUCCCUCUCAUUUUCAUUUCAAGAAACAUUUCAUCUCCCUAUGGAAUAAAAACACACUUUGGAAUUUCACCAUUUUCCAUACAAUGAAAUUCUUGCGUUCCCCUUGCCCUGAGCAGAAGCACCACCACUUCUGCAGGACACACUGCAUUGUGCUGUGACUGUGCUGUCCUGCAGAGACACACAAUGAGUUCCAUGUGACACUGCCCACUGACCUCCCCCAAAACAUCCCUCCCAUGAGUGAGUGCCAGCCUGUGCACACAGCACCCGGAGACACACACUUCCCAUCAGGAAGCAGUUUGUGGAGCCAUCUGGGCAGCUUAAACACUUCAGAGCACUCCAGAGCAUUAACUCUUUGGCUGGACAAUACGCUGACUGAGCUUGGGUUUGGGAUACACUGAAUUAUCCUGAAGAGCCAGGUGACUCAAGUGCCAAAUUCCUGACCACAUUUACUAAUUUAAUUUGACCACUGAAGUUCCCCAGGCUU